AACGAACGCUGGCAGCAUGCCUAACACAUGCAAGUCGAACGAGACCUUCGGGUCUAGUGGCGCACGGGUGCGUAACGCGUGGGAACCUGCCCUUAGGUUCGGAAUAACUCCCCGAAAGGGGUGCUAAUACCGGAUAAUGUCUUCGGACCAAAGAUUUAUCGCCUUUGGAUGGGCCCGCGUUGGAUUAGCUAGUUGGUAGGGUAAAAGCCUACCAAGGCGACGAUCCAUAGCUGGUCUGAGAGGAUGAUCAGCCACACUGGGACUGAGACACGGCCCAGACUCCUACGGGAGGCAGCAGUGGGGAAUAUUGGACAAUGGGCGAAAGCCUGAUCCAGCAAUGCCGCGUGAGUGGUGAAGGCCUUAGGGUUGUAAAGCUCUUUUACCCGGGAUGAUAAUGACAGUACCGGGAGAAUAAGCUCCGGCUAACUCCGUG
rnacentral:rRNA from 1 species